rnacentral:rRNA from 1 species
CACGUAGGGUGCGAGCGUUGUCCGGAAUUAUUGGGCGUAAAGAGCUCGUAGGCGGUGUGUCGCGUCGGCCGUGAAAACUUGCAGCUUAACUGUGGGCGUGCGGUCGAUACGGGCAUCACUGGAGUUCGGCAGGGGAGACUGGAAUUCCUGGUGUAGCGGUGAAAUGCGCAGAUAUCAGGAGGAACACCAGUGGCGAAGGCGGGAUCCUGGGCCAGUACUGACGCUGAGGAGCGAAAGCGUGGGGAGCAAAUGGG